UACGUAGGGGGCAAGCGUUAUCCGGAAUUACUGGGUGUAAAGGGAGCGUAGACGGUAAUGUAAGUCUGGAGUGAAAGGCGGGGGCCCAACCCCCGGACUGCUCUGGAAACUAUGUUACUAGAGUGCAGGAGAGGUAAGCGGAAUUCCUAGUGUAGCGGUGAAAUGCGUGGAUAUUAGGAGGAACACCAGUGGCGAAGGCGGCUUACUGGACUGUAACUGACGUUGAGGCUCGAAAGCGUGGGGAGCAAACAGG
rnacentral:rRNA from 1 species